ACUGGUUUGGAAGUACAGACCUACUUUAUGAAAGACAAGUUUAAAGCAGUUCCUGUUUGGUGAUAUCGAAGAUACCCCUCUCAUUGUGAAUUUCUUCUAAUUAGUAACCAUAAGUAAAAAAGAAAAACAAACCGAAAAAUGCCAUAUGGCGACUUAAAAAAAUUAUAGGAAAUUUAAUAUGUCUAAUACAAUGACUGGUACAGUAAAAUGGUUCAACGAAUCUAAAGGCUUCGGUUUCAUCUCUCCAAAAGAUGGUAGCAAAGAUGUUUUCGUUCAUUUUUCUGCAAUUCAGAGCGAUAGCUUCAAAACUUUGAACGAAGGUCAAGAAGUUAGCUUUACUAUCGAAAACGGUGCAAAAGGUCCUUCUGCUGCAAACGUAAUCGCACUGUAAGAUAAAUUAGUUAAUACUAAUUUUAAUCUUUAAAGUGAAAAAUAUUUAAAACCUCGCCUUGGCGGGGUUUUUUCA
rfam:Moellerella wisconsensis ATCC 35017 Sequence00018, whole genome shotgun sequence.